rnacentral:rRNA from 1 species
AUUGAACGCUGGCGGCAGGCUUAACACAUGCAAGUCGAGCGGGGGCUUCGGCCCUAGCGGCGAACGGGUGAGGAAUGCCUGGGAAUCUGCCUGGUAGUGGGGGAUAACGAUCCGAAAGGAUCGCUAAUACCGCAUACGUCCUACGGGAGAAAGCAGGGGACCUUCGGGCCUUGCGCUAUCAGAUGAGCACAGGUCGGAUUAGCUAGUAGGUGAGGUAAAGGCUCACCUAGGCGACGAUCCGUAGCUGGUCUGAGAGGAUGAUCAGCCACACUGGAACUGAGACACGGUCCAGACUCCUACGGGAGGCGGCAGUGGGGAAUAUUGGACAAUGGGCGAAAGCCUGAUCCAGCCAUGCCGCGUGUGUGAAGAAGGCCUUCGGGUUGUAAAGCACUUUAAGCGGGGAGGAAGUACUUGGGGCUAAUACCCCUGAGUAUUGACGUUACCCGCAGAAUAAGCACCGGCUAACUCUGUGCCAGCCGCCGCGGUAAUAC